rnacentral:rRNA from 1 species
GAUGAACGCUGGCGGCGUGCCUAAUACAUGCAAGUCGAGCGAACAGAUGAGGAGCUUGCUCCUCUGACGUUAGCGGCGGACGGGUGAGUAACACGUGGAUAACCUACCUAUAAGACUGGGAUAACUUCGGGAAACCGGAGCUAAUACCGGAGAAUAUAGUGAACCGCAUGGUUCAAUAGUGAAAGACGGCUUUGCUGUCACUUAUAGAUGGAUCCGCGCCGCAUUAGCUAGUUUGUAAGGUAACGGCUUACCAAGGCAACGAUGAGUAGCCGACCUGAGGGGGUGGACGGCCACACUGGAACUGAGACACGGUCCAAACUCCUACGGGAGGCAGCAGUAGGGAAUCUUCCGCAAUGGGCGAAAGCCUGACGGAGCAACGCCGCGUGAGUGAUGAAGGUCUUCGGAUCGUAAAACUCUGUUAUUUGGGAAGAACAAAUGUGUAAGUAACUAUGCACGUCUUGACGGUACCUAAUCAAAAAGCCACGGCUAACUACGUG